CGGGGUGUGGCCCAGCUGGUAGGGCACUUGACUGGGGGUCAAGGGGUCGUCGGUUCGAGUCCGGCCACCCCGA
rnacentral:tRNA from 1 species